GGCUCGGUAGCUUAGUUGAUGAAGCACUCGUCUAGCAUACAACAGUCCUGGGUACGAAUCCCAACUGAGCAC
rfam:Aedes aegypti strain Liverpool supercont1.181 genomic scaffold, whole genome shotgun sequence.